rnacentral:rRNA from 1 species
AUUGAACGCUGGCGGCAGGCUUAACACAUGCAAGUCGAGCGAGCGGCGGACGUGUGAGUAAUGUCUCGGAAACUGCCUGAUGGAGGGGGAUAACUACUGGAAACUGUAGCUAAUACCGCAUACCAUCGGAUCUGCCCAGAUGGGAUUAGCUAGUUGGUGGGGUAAUGGCUCACCUAGGCGACGAUCCGUAGCUGGUCUGAGAGGAUGACCAGCCACACUGGAACUGAGACACGGUCCAGACUCCUACGGGAGGCAGCAGUGGGGAAUAUUGGACAAUGGGCGAAAGCCUGAUCCAGCCAUGCCGCGUGUGUGAAGAAGGCCUUCGGGUUGUAAAGCACUUUAAGCGGGGAGGCGUUACCAGCAGAAGAAGCACCGGCUAACUCCGUGCCAGCAGCCGCGGUAAUAC